UACAGAGGGUGCAAGCGUUGUUCGGAAUUAUUGGGCGUAAAGGGCGCGUAGGCGGCGCGACAAGUCACCUGUGAAAUCUCCGAGCUUAACUCGGAGCCUGCAGGCGAAACUGUCGUGCUGGAGUAUGGGAGAGGUGCGUGGAAUUCCCGGUGUAGCGGUGAAAUGCGCAGAUAUCGGGAGGAACACCUAUGGCGAAGGCAGCUCGCUGGGACGUUACUGACGCUGAGACGCGAAAGCGUGGGGAGCAAACAGG
rnacentral:rRNA from 1 species